CCUACGGGAGGCAGCAGUGGGGAAUUUGGACAAUGGGCGCAAGCCUGAUCCAGCCAUGCCGCGUGAGUGAAGAAGGCCUUCGGGUUGUAAAGCUCUUUCGGCGGGGACGAAACGGUCCGUGACAACACCACGGACUAAUGACGGUACCCGCAGAAGAAGCACCGGCUAACUACGUGCCAGCAGCCGCGGUAAU
rnacentral:rRNA from 1 species